AACGAACGCUGGCGGCAUGCCUAACACAUGCAAGUCGAACGAGACCUUCGGGUCUAGUGGCGCACGGGUUCGUAACGCGUGGGAACCUUCCCUUAGGUUCGGAAUAACUCCCCGAAAGGGGUGCUAAUACCGGAUAAUGUCUUCGGACCAAAGAUUUAUCGCCUUUGGAUGUGCCCGCGUUGGAUUAGCUAGUUGUUAGGGUAAAAGCCUACCAAGGCGACGAUCCAUAGCUGGUCUGAGAGGAUGAUCAGCCACACUGGGACUGAGACACGGCCCAGACUCCUACGGGAGGCAGCAGUGGGGAAUAUUGGACAAUGGGCGAAAGCCUGAUCCAGCAAUGACGCGUGAGUGAUGAAGGCCUUAGGGUUGUAAAGCUCUUUUAACCGGGAUGAUAAUGACAGUACCGGGAGAAUAAGCUCCGGCUAACUCCGUG
rnacentral:rRNA from 1 species